AAAACUCCAAGGGAUUGGGGGGGACUCUCUUUGGGGGGGCGUAGUGCGUAAUUGGGAGGAUGUGCGCGGGGGGCUUGUAAACUGCUUUUGUACGGACACGAAAAGACUCGCUGUGCUAAUAAAGGGGGUCCAUGACGGUACCGUAAGAAUAAGCACCGGCUAACUACGUGCCAGCAGCCGCGGUAAUACGUAGGGUGCAAGCGUUAAUCGGAAUUACUGGGCGUAAAGCGUGCGCAGGCGGUUAUAUAAGACAGAUGUGAAAUCCCCGGGCUCAACCUGGGAACUGCAUUUGUGACUGUAUAGCUAGAGUACGGUAGAGGGGGAUGGAAUUCCGCGUGUAGCAGUGAAAUGCGUAGAUAUGCGGAGGAACACCGAUGGCGAAGGCAAUCCCCUGGACCUGUACUGACGCUCAUGCACGAAAGCGUGGGGAGCAAACAGGAUUAGAUACCCUGGUAGUCCACGCCCUAAACGAUGUCAACUGGUUGUUGGGUCUUCACUGACUCAGUAACGAAGCUAACGCGUGAAGUUGACCGCCUGGGGAGUACGGCCCGCAAGGUUGAAACUCAAAGGAUUGG
rnacentral:rRNA from 1 species